rnacentral:rRNA from 1 species
ACGCUCGACACCUACGGGGGGCAGCAGUUGGGAAUAUUGGACAAUGGAGGAAACUCUGAUCCAGUGACGCCGCGUGAAGGAAGAAGGUCUUCGGAUUGUAAACUUAUUUUGUCAGGGAAGAAAAAUGACUGUACCUGAAGAAAAAGCACCGGCUAACUACGUGUCAGCAGCCGCAGUAAUCUGAGCGGGCUGGCAAGGC